UUGGUAAAAUGCAAGAAAGAAGGAAAACAACUUUAUUAACAAUGUAUAUUUCACUCAAAUUAUCACAAUUCCUUUUGAGUUUAUGUAUUACAAUUAUAUGAUUGAUUAUUUCUUUUUCUUAGGUUUUAUAUAUUCGUAGUGGUCUAAUAGUAACUGAGUCUUCACUAUACAACCAUCGGUUUCCCAAUCCCACACGAAUUUGAUUCCCUAAAUAGACAAAUAAAUAUUAUCACAACCAAAAAUAUAAUAAAAUAAUAUAAAUACGUGUGUAGUGGAAAACAGCUGCAAAUUCCACGUAUUUGCCACGUAUAUUAAUUGAUCUACUCAUUUUCAAUAUUUUACGUCCACGAAAUAUAUACAGGGAGAGGUUUUUAUGUUUUUUUAUAAAAUUCUAACAAAAAAAUUGCAUUGGAUUCAUGGAUUGUGUUUAGGUUGCGCGUGAGCACACGCAGUGUCUGCGAAUGAGGAACGAGACGUGAUGAGAUUUGUGGUUUGGGCAGAGUGGAAUGUGGGCCCUUCUACUUUAUUGUUUUAGACAAUUUUGUCAUAAAUCUAUUUAUUACUUUUUUUUUUUUUUUGUAACACAAAUCUAUUUAUUACUUUAAAAAAGGCGGCUUCUAUUCAAGUGACUCUAAAUUCAACAUCCCGUCGGUUCUUCCUUCUUCAGCUUCUUAUUUGGACCGUUGAUCGUCGGGUACAAUAGUUUGACUAUUAAGUAUUAGUAAACACAAUUUGACGUACAUAGCGAAUUGUUAUUAUUUUAUGGCAAACUUUAUUCAAAAACACUUUGCUGACCAAACUAAUAUGGUGUUUUGAUGGUUUGAAUAGUUUAGUUAUCAGCCGCUGUAAUGGGUUUGUUUGUUUUUGACAUUAACAUCACGUAUACCACGUUAAAACUAUCUCGUUAAUUUUACCCCAAAAAAAAACUAUCUCGUUAAGUUUUAGUUUACUCCCUCAAAAUCCCUUUUGAAAACAUUAGAUAA